CAUGCAAGUCGAACGAACUCUGGUAUUGAUUGGUGCUUGCAUCAUGAUUUACAUUUGAGUGAGUGGCGAACUGGUGAGUAACACGUGGGAAACCUGCCCAGAAGCGGGGGAUAACACCUGGAAACAGAUGCUAAUACCGCAUAACAACUUGGACCGCAUGGUCCGAGUUUGAAAGAUGGCUUCGGCUAUCACUUUUGGAUGGUCCCGCGGCGUAUUAGCUAGAUGGUGGGGUAACGGCUCACCAUGGCAAUGAUACGUAGCCGACCUGAGAGGGUAAUCGGCCACAUUGGGACUGAGACACGGCCCAAACUCCUACGGGAGGCAGCAGUAGGGAAUCUUCCACAAUGGACGAAAGUCUGAUGGAGCAACGCCGCGUGAGUGAAGAAGGGUUUCGGCUCGUAAAACUCUGUUGUUAAAGAAGAACAUAUCUGAGAGUAACUGUUCAGGUAUUGACGGUAUUUAACCAGAAAGCCACGGCUAACUACGUGCCAGCAGCCGCGGUAAUACAUAGGUGGCAAGCGUUGUCCGGAUUUAUUGGGCGUAA
rnacentral:rRNA from 2 species